GAUGAACGCUGGCGGCGUGCCUAAUACAUGCAAGUCGAGCGAACGGACGAGACUCUUGCUUCUCUGAUGUUAGCGGCGGACGGGUGAGUAACACGUGGAUAACCUACCUAUAAUACUGGGAUAACUUCGGGAACCCGGAGCUAAUACCGGAUGAUCUUUUGAACCGCAUGGUUCAAUAGUGAAAGACGGUCUUGCUGUCACUUAUAGAUGGAUCCGCGCUGCAUUAUCUAGUUGGUAAGGUAACGGCUUACCAAGGCAACGAUGCAUAGCCGACCUGAGAGGGUGAUAGGCCACACGGGAACUGAGACACGGUCCAGAAUCCUACGGGAGGCAGCAGUAGGGAAUGUUACGCAAUGGGCGAAAGCCUGACGGAGCAACGCCGCGUGAGUGAUGAAGGUCUUCGGAUCGUAAAACUCUGUUAUUAGGGAAGAACAUAUGUGUAAGUAACUGAGCACAGCUUGACGGUAACUAAUCAGAAAGCAACGGCUAACUACGUG
rnacentral:rRNA from 1 species